rnacentral:rRNA from 1 species
AUAAGCGUCGGCUAACUACGUGCCAGCAGCCGCGGUAAGACGUAGGACGCGAGCGUUAUCCGGAUUUACUGGGCGUAAAGCGUGUGUAGGCGGCGUGACAAGGUUGGGCGUGAAAGCCCCGUGCUCAACGCGGGGAGGCCGCACAAUACUGUCAAGGGCUAGAGGGCACCAGAGGGGUGUGGAAUUUCCCGGGAGUAGCGGUAAAAAUGCGCAGAUAUCGGGAGGAACACCGGUGGCGAAAGCGGCACCCUGGGGUGCGCCUGACGCUGAGAGACGACAGCUAGGGGAGCGAACAGGAUUAGAGACCCUGGUAGUCCUAGCCGUAAACGAUGGAUGCUAGGUGUAGGAGUGAAGAGCUUCUGUGCCGCAGCGAACGCGAUAAGCAACCCGCCUGGGGAGUACGGCCGCAAGGUUAAAACUCAAACGAAUUGACGGGGACCCGCACAAGCAGCGGAGCGUGUGGUUUAAUUCGAUGCUACACGAAGAACCUUACCUGGGAUUGACAUAUAGGUGGUAGUGAUCCGAAAGGAGAGCGACCCUUCGGGGAGCCUAUACAGGUGCUGCAUGGCUGUCGUCAGCUCGUGCCGUGAGGUGUCGGGUUAAGUCCCGUAACGAGCGCAAC